rnacentral:misc_RNA from 1 species
GCGAGUAUGGCCCUCACGGGUCUAAUCCAACCAUAAACACCUUUGUGAACCAGUCAGGGGGACUCGGCCUGUGAAAGCCCAGGCGAUUAUGCGGAAGGGCCCGUCCUUUGCAAACCCGUUUAGAAGUCUUGAAAGGUACUUUUGUAUAAUCUAGUA